CCCGCACCCUCACACACUCACACGUAGCUCUGGGAUAUUCCCCCUUUUCAUCUCCUUCCAUCCCCUCGCUGCAUAAUUCUUCCAGCCGAGCAUUGCGCUCGGCUCACUGGUGCGGCGACGGGGUGGGCUUGGCUCCCUGUACGCAUCCUCGAUCUCUCAGGCCGGUCAACAGCGACGGAUGGGUAGUAGGGCUCGAUGAGAAGCUGUGCCAUGGAGGAUGUGAGCUUAUUGAUAUUGGCCGUUUCAUUGUCGUCAGCAUCCUUCGAGGAGAUGUGGGCGUGGAUCUUGUCUCCCGCAGCCAGCUUGGAUCCACAUUAGUUGUGAGGAUGCUGGCGGCAUUGUUUUUCAUUGCAUCGUGGCUGUCCCCGAGCUAGGCAGCCGGGCAGGUCGUCUUCAUCCUCGACACUUGCAGACUGAAUUCGGCAACUUAUUCUUCCACCUAAAGGUCCCCCUUCUCCCUUUUCAUGUCUUUCUCCCUUUCUCUACAUGUGUAUGGCUAAACCAAUAUGAUGUGCAUUAAGGUACAGCUUGUUAGUGAAAGAUCUAAAUUAAUUUGUGCCCCCUCCACCUUUUUUGUACUUGGGACUUACAUCGGUAGAGGCCCCUCUGCCCUAGUUCAUAUUCAACAAAUGUAAUAAAUAAUUAGUUUAUUUGUGAUUAGCUAUAGUUUUAAGAUUUCCCAAUGAUAGAAUUAAUUUUAAUAAGUGAUAUGAAAAGAGUUGCUAUUACAUUUUGCAUAUUAACUAUAACAAUCCAUGGAUGCGGUCACUGUUAUAUUGCACAAUGUUCCCUCGCAAAAAAAUUGCACAAUAUGAUAAGCUUGAAAUAUCCGAUAAUACGUAGUGUCGAUAAUUGAUAAUAUUGAGCUAUGUCCAUUGAACAUUGAUGCAUGUUUCGAAUACUUCUGGGAGUAGUAGAUCAUAUCUGUCCCGCCAUAUCAUGUUAUUAGCAUAGAAAAGUCAUUUUUGCUCCAUGUACUUAUGGUUAUAUAAAAAGGCUAGUAGCAUCUAUAAGUGCCUAUUUGGUUCCUGCCUUCAGAAUAUUUCUGUGUAGACUAUGUUCUUGACCACAUCAUCCUCGUUGUCAGUUCAUUUUCUAUAGAAAAGAAAAUAAUAGGUGUGAUAAAGUCAAUAGGGUAUUACUUGUGCGUGUUUUUCCAAAGUAUUCCCUUUCUCUUACAUUUGUCAUGAACUCCUUGAGCUUUAUGUGGAACACUCGGUCAACAAUAUCAAAUCUUACUGAUUCUGCUUGGCCUACUUCCUAUAGCAUAGAUUGAAUCUGUGGCCAAGUUGCAUUGCAUGUGAAUGUCACAAAUAGGUCCGUGUAUCCAAGCCACUGACAUAUUGAUAUAGCAUCAUGGUAGUUUUGUGCUUUGUUUCUUGGGAUAUAUGUGAAGCUGGAUUGCACAUGGCAGUAGUAUUCUCCUUCAUACCUGGUCAACCAUUGUAUUUCUUUUGUGUCUUGCAGGCCAACAUAUAAUUCUGUUCUUAGGUUUCCUUGUUGUCUUUCUAUCUAGUCUAGCUAUUUGUACUGCAAAAUGUAUGCAAGGGCAAUGAACUGCAAUUUAGGCUUUUCACACACCAGCAAAUGUUUCGACAGGUUAGUACAUUGUUGUAUAUGAUUCUCAUAGUAUUCCAACAAUGUUAUAUGCUUUCUCUUCCACUUUGCACCUUCUUUUAAUGUGUAAUGUAUAUUUUCUCUCUACACAUAUUCUCCGUUGGGGAAUAAUAAUUGAUACUGCAUAGGCAUGAAUGUUGAAUGGUUCUCUGAUAUUCUUCGGUCUCAUGUCUUUGUAGUGAAUAAUGUUAUCCUGUCCUUUUCUAUUUUGUGUUGUAUCAUUCACAAUCAAGGCUGAAACUACAGUUGCCGAUGGCAUGUCAUGUCGUAUUAAUCUCACGUUGUGAUAGUCACCUUUCCAAAUUUAUCCCUUGCCAUUCUGAGUGUUUUUGCUAGUCUAUUAUCUCUAUCCAACAUUUUUAAGGCCCCCGACGAAGUGAGGAUCUCUUGACUCCCUUUUGUUUUCUGAUGUUGACGUUUCAAUCCUGAUUUUACCUCAUUUAUAGUGUCAUAUGUGUACAACUGCGUUGUGCGUGGUUCAUCCUUACCUUCAGGUAAUAGAGUACCUAUUCUGUGGUAUUUUUGGCCAUUCAGUACAAAUAUAUAACGUCUGCGGCCAUUGUUUAUUUCUGUGUCUACCUUUCCUCCCAUUGACGUGAAAGCAAACAUGGAGUUGUUCAAACUGAUAUUUUGCAUGUAGUUUUUCCACCACCUUCGGUUGUGUUUCCUUAACAAUUUCGUAAGGUUAGCCGGCGGCUCUCCUAAUGGUGACAAGUCAACCUUGCCCCGUUGGCAGCCUAGCCCGAAAGAUGGUAUGCUUCUCGCUCUACCUGAGAUUGUUUCUUCGUAACAGAGAAUUGCAUCACAUCACUCACACUUGCAGCUUGGGUUUCCGACGUUGCCGAAUUUCCAUAUUCGUCCUCUCUGAUGUCCUGUUCAAGUUUCUGAAUUCAGCAUCAACUUAAAUGUUUGUAAUGUCUGGUUGUUCUUCAUACUAAACAAACAAAUUUCAUUGAACUUACAUCUAUGGAGUUUCUUUCCCUAUCCUUGUUUUUUAUGUUGUACACAUUGUGUUACUUUUAGUCAUGUACGCGUGCAUAAAAGAAAUACCAGGUUCAUGAAUAUCCAAAUUGUAGAUCUUGAUUGAACUUUCUUGUUACUUACCUCUUAGUCGUACUAGCCUGACUUAUUAUUGAAUUAUUUUGUGUCACUGGUUCUGCAUUGCUCUUUCUUUGUAUUUUUUCUUUUCCCAUAUAGUGUUACAUAUCUAGCUAUCUCUGUUAAAUUACCAGUCCUGCAUAAACAUAAAUUCCAUUUAUUAGAAAUGAGACAAUUUUUCUGCGACAUGUGCAAUUUAUUACUUGUAGUAGUUGUCAAAGUCCUUGUUGAAUGCCUGUACAUGAUAUGGUUCCCUGCGGCAAUUCAAAAAUGCUGAUUUUGCCUCUGUCUUUGUUAAGCCAUACUAUAUGGAAAUGUGUUCUCAUGUUUUUUUGACAAAGAAAUAAUUGAUAGUUUUUUUGCAAGAACAAAUGUAACAUGUUUUCUUUACUUUAAUACACCACUUUAAAUUAGCUGUAGAUCAUAUGGAAAUGCAUAGGCCGACGGGCGUGAUAACCAUUUGCAUACGGUAAACUGUGUAUAUUUGUACAUCAAAUAUACUGGGUUAUUCAAUAAACUUUUGUAAGCAUGGAAAGAAUGGAACACAUAGAUAGCACAAUUGAUGUGCAAAGCAGAAGCAAGCUAUAAUACUGUUUUGAAUAUACCUUAUUACAGUCGUGCAUCGUGUAAGAGAAGUUUAGCAGUUGAAUUCAGAACAGUAAGUAAAGAUAGUGGAUGAUAAUACACAUAAGGAAAUACGUUUGUAAAGAUUUUCUUCCCACACGUGGUUCAGAGGUUCUUCUUUUGGCAUAAUUGUGCAGUCUGGCACAUCUCCAUGUAUAAUCCAUUUUUUCUUCUUUUUCUUGUCUUGCAGUUCAUUCUCCUGUCCUAACUUUUCAUUGUUUAUUGACUGGAUUGACAUCAGUAAGAUAUAAUUUGAAAUAUUUCCCUCGUCCAAGCUUAAAUCACAAACCCGCGUGUGCCUACUUGAAUCUCAAAUCCAAGUUUUUUUUUCUUCCUAUGAUGCCACCUAUUGAAGAUCAUGGAUAGUAAUGGAUCAGCCUGUUGUAUUGCAUAUUUGAUUCUUUUAACAAACUUGGAAGAUUUCACACAUUUUUGCUAUGUGGCCCACCUUUUAUUUCCUUUGUUUCUUCUUGCACAAUGGAGAAUGCACAUAUUAUUGAAGAAGAUGAGAUAUUGUAAAAUCAUUCUAGAGUACUGCUCAAGGUUAUGAAGAUUUAUGAUUUUGGUAGUUUUUUCUGCUUACAAAAUUUCGUCUUUCUUGUAGAAGUAAAAGAGAUCAACUUCGAGGACCAGUGGAUUUUAAGUUCCAAUCUUCAUUUGAAAAGACAAAUAUUGUGAGUACCUUUUACCCCCGUGGUGUAGUUAUAUGCAAGUACAUAAAAUCAUAUGUUUAGUGAAGAGUAAGAUUGCAAUUGAGGAUGGCAAGUUCAUGUACAAUGACGACUGAAAAAUCGCAGGGUGAACUUAGGGCCCUAUCUGAACUUAAACACAACUGCCCCUGUUGAUUAAUAUAAGAUGUUUUAUAUGGAAAGUCUAAAAAACAUCUUAAAUUAAUGGACAGAGACAGUAUUUGAUUGUGUUGUCACACCUGAAAUAAGAUGUUUUAUAUGGAAAGUAUGAAAAACAUCUUAAAUUAAUGGACAGAGACAGUAUUUGAUUGUGUUGUCA